rnacentral:lncRNA from 13 species
UGCUCCAGACAUUCCUCUGACUCUAAGCUGCUUCUUUCUUUUUUUUUUGAAAAUGCUUUUUUAUUGGACAAGAGAAUUGAUCAAAUCUAAAUCUGGACAAACUAGAAAGUUUGGGUACUCGAAAUACAAUCUAUAGACACAUUCUAGCAUCACUUCUACGUCAGAAGUACCAGGAUUGUGGGGCCUGCAAAUCCAUGUUCCUACACACCAGGACAUCCUCUAAGAAAAUAAAGCCAUGCUUUCCAGAGCAUUUAGCACUCAUUUAACAUGCUUGUUUUUUAUAAGUGUCACAAAGUAGGAUGGGAUUUCUAAAGAUAAGGGAAUAUAGGACCUAGGCCAAGACAAUCAGCAUAUACCUACUGAAUCACACUCCAUGAUCAUAUUGCUAGAACACUGUCAGGGAGUAGCCCUGAAAUCACAGCCCUGCUACUGUGACAUGCAGUUACAGGACAGAGGUGCCAGGAGGAGAAGUGCCCAUUAUGAUCAAGGAAAGCCUUUGUGAGAAGACUACUUCAGGGUGCUCCCCAUCAGGGGAUCAUACCCCUGAUGCUGUAUUCCUCCUCAAUCCAAGGUUCAUGUGAAAUGCUCAGGUGGGGACAUUUUUCUUCCAGAGCCAUCAGCAUCUUCUAAGAUUCUUCAUCAAAGGCAGAUUUCUACAGCCCCAGCAUCUGCAGGGCACAGUCCGGGUGGCUCAAAGCCCCACACAGCAACACCACUCCCUCAGGGUCCAAGGUAAUUUAGUCAAGGUUCAGGCUCCUCAGCGUUUUGCUGGUGACCAGUGCCACGGCGAGGUCUUCACAGCAGGCAUGGGUGAUCCAAUAUGUUUGCAGCCCAAGACACUCUAAUUUAUAGUUAGGAUGCUUCAAAGCUUCACCUAACUGUCUCACACCAGUAUCUCCUAUUUCAUUAUGCCCAAGUUUCAGGAUCUUCAGUUUUUCAUUGCUGAUGAGAACAUCAGUAAUGUCCUUACAGUAAUCGGAAGUAAGGAAACAAGCCAUCAACCACAGCUCCUGUAUGCUAUGGUCCGGAUGCUUCAGCGCUUCACACAGCAACACCACUGCCCUGUCUUCCAGAUGAUUGGACCCCAGAUUGAGGAGGGACAGGGAAUUACUGCACUCAAGUCCUUGGGAAAUGGCCUCAAAGGAGACACAGUCAACCAAACGGAGCCGGGAAGGAGUCAGAAGGCUUGAGCCACGUGGCCUGUCCAGGCAUCACAUGAAAGUUGUGUCUGUUUCUCAUUGUUGCUAUGGCUGAAUACCACAAACUGGCUUAAAACCACAUAUGUUUGUGCUGCACUUCUAGAGGUGAGAAAUCCCAAAUGGGUCUAUCUGGCUAAAGUCAUAUUGCCUGCAGGGCUGUGGUACUUUCUAGGGGUUCCAGGAGAGACUGUUCCUCACCAUCCCAGCUUCUAGAAGCUGCCCACAUUCUCUAGCUCACAGCCACAUCACUCCAACCUCUGCUUCUACGCCCACCUGUCUUUCUAUGAGCUUGCCCUCCUGCCUCCCAUGUGUAGGAGCCCUUGUGAUCAUCUUGGACCUGCAGGUGAGAUCUAGGACAUUUCUAGAGUGGCACCUCCAUGCAGAGGCACAUCCCCACUGCCACAUAUGGAACAUGGUCACGGGCUUCAGAGCCUGGGAUGGGAGCAGCUUUUGGAGGGCAUUGCUCUGCCCACCACAGUAAUGAUGAACUUGGGGCGGCUGCACUUGUCAACAUGUUGGUCCAUGAGAAUUAAAGCCCUAAAGGAUUUGACUGGCUCCUGCUCCUCCUCCUGACUCCAGGUAGCAGUGAAUCCACAGGAGAGAUGGGGAUCAGGUGACCUUAGGGUGUGUCCAGCGUCAACUCUAAUUGCACCAGUAAGGGAAUGGAAGCCUUGAGAAAGUACCAGAAUGGUCUCGAAGUCCUCAGCCAGUGUCGGUGACCAUGAUGCAUUCAGAUUUCUGUCACUUGUUUUCCAGGCUACAGAUUCUUCAAUGCACAAAACCAAUCACGCGAAGGGACACUCAGUGUCGCUGCUUGCCCUGCUUAGUUUGGCCCAGGAUUUCUUGCUGCAAGACAAGCUCCACCUGCAGCUCUGGUAACCCGCCCUUCUCUCCAGGCUCACUCAUCUCCCAGGAGGACAAUCUGGAAGGGGUCUCGCUGGGGUUGUGAGGCAGGCAGAGGACAGAACCAGCAGCCAUGCCUGGUUAGAGAAUGCAGCAUCCAAAGCAGAGAAAAGGAGUCUGGGUGUCCUCCAAGUCUCAGCCUCUUCAGCCGGCACUGCAGGCUCCCGUGCCCACCUGCCUGGGCCUGCAGCCAACUGAGUGAGUUUCACAUCUAUUAUGCCUCUGGCUGGGCAGGGCCAUGGCCUCCUCCUGGCUGAGUGAAUGUUUGAAAAACAGACCCGAUGCUAACCCAUAUGUCUAACAGGGUCCUUGAAAUCAAGACACAAAAAGAGGAAAAACUCAUCAAACUGGAGUUUAUGCUCAAUUUUUUGUUCACUUGUCACAAUAUGAUGACGAUAAAAUAAAAGUUUUU